AAGAUCUCUCGCACGGAUUAGGAGAAUGCCUUUGUCUGCGCCCCCCUGCGGAUCUCAGCAGCUCCUGAAAGGGCUGUUCUUUCUUUCUCUCGCUCUCUUUCUCUCUCUCUCUCCCCCCCCCCUCAUUUUCUUUCGUGGGGAGGAAUGCAGAGGAAAGUUUCCCGAAGUUUGCGCGCUUCGCGGUUGCGUAACAGAAAUGGCAACGGUCGGGGAAACUGGCUUGGCUCUUUGCAGGAAGCGAUGGGAGAUGGAUUGGUCUGAGAUGAUGCAAUAUUCGGAGCGGUUGUGCCCAUUUAGGAAGUCCACUGUUCUGCACCGAAUACAACUUCUGAACAUUUCCCCAAGCCAGCUCUAUACAGGGUGCAUUUCUGUACUCAAAUCUGGAGGUGACUGAAGUGGCCAAAAACUAUUUCUGAGAUGAGGCUGUAGUUGAUAAACCAGCUGUGUGACUGAAAUGCUUAUGGUCCUGGGCACUUUCACAUGACCUUCUUAUUGAGUAUUCCUUCUGACACAGUUGUGGGGAGGUUGAGUGAAGUUGCAUCAAAGCAGCUUUUGAGUUCAUUUCUCCAUUACUUUCCUUAUCACUAAAAGCCUAGUCUUUGGGGGAAGGAGGUUUGUUACGCAGGUGCUGAUCAACUAUAAUUGUGUGAUGUACAUUUGCUAGUCUGUGAUUGAAUUCUACUCAAAAAUAGCAACCGUUUGGAAGCACCUGCUACCCUUCUCCCCCUCCCCCCCAGGUUCUUCCUUCACAUCUGCAUGACUGGAGCAGCGUUGAGAGAAACUACAGAGUAAAAAAUGCUCCUCUCCUACUGCCAGUAAAUGCGACUCAGCCCUUAGGCCUGUACUGGAAGGAACGCACAUGAAUGCAGCCAGAAUUAAUUAAAUGUGUGCAUAAUUGCCAUUCUACUUUUUCAGGUUCUCCAGGUUUUCCCUAUGUCUUUGAUCAUUAAAGCAGAUCUCACAGUUUCUGUGCCUUCUGCACUGUUCCCCUCGAAAGUGGGUAGAUGUGAACUGACACUAGUAA